AACGCACAUUGCGCCUCUCGGUAUUCCGGGAGGCACGCCUGUUCGAGCGCCAUUACACACUCCAAGCGAAGCUUGAUGUUGGGCGAAGCGGUCUAACCACCGCCCGCCUGGAACGCGUGGGCGCCCGCCGCCGGACCGCGAACGUAGCAAGACAAUCGUCAAGUCGUUCUGCGGGCUCCGACGGGGGGCUGCCUCAUAAACCAUUUUUAUAUCCAGUUUGGCCUCGGAUCAGGCGGGGAUACCCGCUGAACUUAA
rnacentral:misc_RNA from 1 species